CUUUGUUCUUUCUUUUGUACUCUUUAUUUUCUGUUUCAUUUAAUUAUUUGUCUGUAAAUAUGUUUUAUACAGGAACACAAUGUAAAUUACCAUUUUUUCGAUAUAAUUGUGUUAUCCUGUCUAAAUAGAAAUAUUAAUUACAGAAUUUAUUAUUCUUCAAAGAAAAAGGUAGACGGCAUACACGUGGUGAGUUAAAGUUCGCGCGCUUUUCCAUUUGAUUCCGCUCAUCCAGAAUCAAUAGUUGGACCAACUUGGAAAAAGCCACACGGUAUUUCCCAGUACUAAUCUCUCGGAUGAACAGAUGGUGAAAAGGACAAAAUGAAUAUAGACGUUUGGAAUGUGCGGAUUAUUUCCAUAUUCAUUUUCAUUGGAAUAUCUCUUUCAAAACGGUACAAGUAUUGUGCAGAGGGAUGCUGUCCACACGAAUUCUGUGCGUAUCACAAAAUCUGCUAUCCCGUCAUUCACUGCGAGCCUACGUGCCCUGACGGAAGUUGUCAAAAUGGACUCUGCUUUCCCGCCAAACCAUGCAAGGUGAACACAGAAUGUGGAUUCGCCGAGUCUUGCUCUUACAAUUUCAAUCUGGGGUACGAAACUUGUCAGUACAAUCUGAACAUUGGGGACACCCUGUGUUACGACAGGAACGGGAAGUCGGUGGUCAAUCCAAAGCCAGACGAGAGUCCGUUUGUUCACAACAGUUUUAACAACAGACGAGAUAAUUUAUGAUUAAUAACAAACACGCAAUAUGUAUUUUGUUUAUAAAUACGCAAAAAUCACAGUUAUUUUUCUGGGGUUUCAGUUAAGUGACAGCCAUACUAACUGAUUAAUUAUCAUUGUCAUCCAUGUAAGUUUCAAGGAAGGUGGUCUAAGCUUCUUCAUAUUAUCUGAUAAUGAUAGAUGAAAAACUUAACAUUGCAUAUUUUACCCUUUUAAUUGGUUUUCAAAUACAUGUAUGUACAUAUAAUUGCUGUUUAUACAUAUUUACAAAUGUAUUAACACAUUCAAACUUCACUUAAACAUCAAAUCUUUCAUGCCGUCUUUAUAUUUGUAACACCAAAACCUUUCAUCUUGAAAAGAACUUAACUAAUCAAAAUGCAUGACACAUUAUUUCUUGCAUUAUUUGUGCACUGACAUUCUGUUUAGGCCAUAGCCUUCCAUUCAUCUAUAAUGGAUGGCCAUAGCUAUCCAAUUCUCUGAAAAAGUCUGUGGGACAUCCACAUAUUUGUGCAUCUCACAUUAAACACAAUAUAGUAAUUAUAUUUCCAUAAAUUCCAUAAACAAUAAUUUUCAGCAUAACGUUGAAAUGAAAUUUACAGAUGAUCAUACCAUACAUUUCGUUUAUUAUUUUUUUUAAAAAGUCUGGAAAUGUUAAAAAAAAGAACAAGCUAAUUAUAUACUAAUAAUUUAACUUUCAUCAAUCAGAACAUGCUAUACAUAUAUAUACCCCUGUAUUCACUACACAGUAUAGUUUCAAAGUUUUCUCCAAAAAAUGAAAAAUGGAUUUACAAUGAAAAUGGUAAUUUGCCCAUACAAGGCAUAUUCUGUUUGGAGAAAUCAGCAGAAAAAAAGAA